rnacentral:misc_RNA from 1 species
UCUCCGUUGAUGAACCAGCGGAGGGAUCAUUACUGGAAUCGCAAGAUCCCACAACCCUGUGAACCUACCGAAACGUUGCCUCGGCGGGUGCCCGGCCUCUGCGCCGGGCGCUGCGCCCGCCGGCGGCCCCCUACUCUGUCUCUGCAGCGUGGCAUCUCAGAGUCCCAGAAAACAAGUCAAAACUUUCAACAACGGAUCUCUUGGCUCUA